UCUGCUACACGUGGCAUCACCACAUCGCUCUCUCUCUCAAACGUACACCCCCUCUUUCGCCCCUCUCUCUUGACCGACCGAUCUCUUCCCCUCGAACCGAUCUCCCCCCUUCUUUGGCCCCUCUCUCUCCAUCGUCUUUGCCUCUCUCUCUACCCAUCGCCCCCCUCUCCCCUCCUUAUCUCCCUACUCCUCCCAACCACUCUCUCUACUCCCUCUCUCUCCUUCCUAAACCGAACGCCCUUCUGUCUCUCUACAUCUCUCUUUCGUCUCUCUCUCUAACAUCUCUGCUCCUCUCUUACACUCGACCGAUCGCCUGGCAGGUUUCUCUCUCUUCGAUCUUGGCGAGAAUAAUGCCGAUCCUCUCUCACUACAACCCCUCUCUCUCUAUCAUUCCUGUUCCUUUCUCACACUCAAACGAUCGCCCCGUCGGUAAGUUUCUCUCCUGGAGCGAGACCUCUCUCACCAGAG
rnacentral:lncRNA from 1 species